rnacentral:rRNA from 1 species
ACCCGCUGAACUUAAGCAUAUCAAUAAGCGGAGGAAAAGAAACUAACAAGGAUUCCCCUAGUAACGGCGAGUGAACCGGGAAGAGCUCAAAUUUGAAAUCUGGCAGUCUUCGAUUGUCCGAGUUGUAAUCUAUAGAAGCGUUUUCCGUGCUGAACUGUGUAUAAGUCCCUUGGAACAGGGUAUCAAAGAGGGUGACAAUCCCGUACUUUACACAAUCAUCAGUGCUCUGUGAUACGUUCUCUACGAGUCGAGUUGUUUGGGAAUGCAGCUCAAAAUGGGUGGUAAAUUCCAUCUAAAGCUAAAUAUUGGCGAGAGACCGAUAGCGAACAAGUACCGUGAGGGAAAGAUGAAAAGCACUUUGGAAAGAGAGUUAAACAGUACGUGAAAUUGUUGAAAGGGAAACGAAAUUCAUGAAUCAUGUUUAUUGGACUCAGCCGUUCUUCGGUGUACUUCCUUUAAACGGGUCAACAUCAGUUUUGUCCGAUGGAUAAAGGUAGUAGGAAGGUGGCUCUCUCGGGAGUGUUAUAGCCUAUUGCUGCAUACAUUGGAUGAGACUGAGGACUGCAGCUUGCCUUUAUGGCCGGGGUUCGCCCA